GACGAACGCUGGCGGCGUGCUUAACACAUGCAAGUCGAACGGUGAAGCGCCUUCCUUUUUGGUGGGUGUGGAUGAGUGGCGAACGGGUGAGUAACACGUGAGUAACCUGCCCCCUUCUUCUGGAUAACCGCAUGAAAGUGUGGCUAAUACGGGAUAUUCUGGGUCUGUCGCAUGAUGGGUCUGGGAAAGAUAUUGUUUCGGUGGGGGAUGGGCUCGCGGCCUAUCAGCUUGUUGGUGGGGUGAUGGCCUACCACGGCGGUGACGGGUAGCCGGCCUGGGAGGGUGGACGGUCACACUGGGACUGAGACACGGCCCGGACUCCUACGGGGGGCAGCAGUGGGGAAUAUUGAACAGUGGGCGCAAGCCUGAUGCGGCGACGCCGCGUGAGGGAUGGAGGCCUUCGGGUUGUGAACCUCUUUCGCCAGUGAAGCAGGCCUGCCUCGUUUGUGGGUGGGUUGACGGUAGCUGGAUAAGAAGCGCCGGCUAACUACGUG
rnacentral:rRNA from 1 species